CCUACGGGAGGCAGCAGUGAGGAAUAUUGGUCAAUGGCCGGAAGGCUGAACCAGCCAAGCCGCGUGAAGGACGAAGGUGCCAAGCAUUGUAAACUUCUUUUGUCAAGGGACAAAAUCAGGCUCGAGAGCCUGACCGAGGGUACUGGAAGAUAAAGCAUCGGCUAACUCCGUGCCAGCAGCCGCGGUAAUACGGAGGAUGCGAGCGUUAUCCGGAUUUAUUGGGUUUAAAGGGGGAGUAGGCGGACUGUUAAGUCAGCGGUAAAAGCCCGGGGCGGAACCCCGGCGAGCCGUUGACAUUGGCUGUGUUGAGAUGACGAGGGGUAUGCGGAAUGCGCAGUGUAGCGGUGAAAUGCUUAG
rnacentral:rRNA from 1 species